rnacentral:rRNA from 1 species
AUACGUAGGGGGCGAGCGUUGUCCGGAUUUACUGGGCGUAAAGGGUGAGUAGGCGGUUAUAUGUGUCAGAUGUAAAAGGCUAUGGCUUAACCAUAGUUAGCAUUUUAAACUGUAUGACUUGAGGGAAGGAGAGGUAAGUGGAAUUCCUAGUGUAGCGGUGAAAUGCGUAGAUAUUAGGAGGAACACCAGUGGCGAAGGCGACUUACUGGACUGUAACUGACGCUGAGUCACGAAAGCGUGGGUAGCAAACAGGAUUAGAUACCCUGGUAGUCCACGCUGUAAACGAUGAGUGCUAGGUGUUGGCCAGCGAUGGUCAGUGCCGCAGUAAACACAUUAAGCACUCCGCCUGGGGAGUACGGUCGCAAGACUGAAACUCAAAUGAAUUGACGGGG